UGUGAACUCGAAGAGUAGGGCGGGACACGUGGUAUCCUGUCUGAAUAUGGGGGGACCAUCCUCCAAGGCUAAAUACUCCUGACUGACCGAUAGUGAACCAGUACCGUGAGGGAAAGGCGAAAAGAACCCCGGCGAGGGGAGUGAAAAAGAACCUGAAACCGUGUACGUACAAGCAGUGGGAGCACCUUCGGGUGUGACUGCGUACCUUUUGUAUAAUGGGUCAGCGACUUAUAUUCUGUAGCAAGGUUAACCGUAUAGGGGAGCCGAAGGGAAACCGAGUCUUAACUGGGCGUUAAGUUGCAGGGUAUAGACCCGAAACCCGGUGAUCUAGCCAUGGGCAGGUUGAAGGUUGGGUAACACUAACUGGAGGACCGAACCGACUAAUGUUGAAAAAUUAGCGGAUGACCUGUGGCUGGGGGUGAAAGGCCAAUCAAACCGGGAGAUAGCUGGUUCUCCCCGAAAGCUAUUUAGGUAGCGCCUCGUGAACUCAUCUUCGGGGGUAGAGCACUGUUUCGGCUAGGGGGCCAUCCCGGCUUACCAACCCGAUGCAAACUACGAAUACCGAAGAAUGUUAUCACGGGAGACACACGGCGGGUGCUAACGUCCGUCGUGAAGAGGGAAACAACCCAGACCGCCAGCUAAGGUCCCAAAGUCAUGGUUAAGUGGGAAACGAUGUGGGAAGGCACAGACAGCCAGGAUGUUGGCUUAGAAGCAGCCAUCAUUUAAAGAAAGCGUAAUAGCUCACUGGUCGAGUCGGCCUGCGCGGAAGAUGUAACGGGGCUAAACCAUGCACCGAAGCUGCGGCAGCGACGCUUAUGCGUUGUUGGGUAGGGGAGCGUUCUGUAAGCCGUUGAAGGUGUGCUGUGAGGCAUGCUGGAGGUAUCAGAAGUGCGAAUGCUGACAUAAGUAACGAUAAAGCGGGUGAAAAGCCCGCUCGCCGGAAGACCAAGGGUUCCUGUCCAACGUUAAUCGGGGCAGGGUGAGUCGACCCCUAAGGCGAGGCCGAAAGGCGUAGUCGAUGGGAAACAGGUUAAUAUUCCUGUACUUGGUGUUACUGCGAAGGGGGGACGGAGAAGGCUAUGUCAGCCGGGCGACGGUUGUCCCGGUUUAAGCAUGUAGGCGGAGGUUCCAGGUAAAUCCGGUACCUUGUUAACGCUGAGGUGUGAUGACGAGGCACUACGGUGCUGAAGUGAUAAAUGCCCUGCUUCCAGGAAAAGCCUCUAAGCAUCAGGUAACACGAAAUCGUACCCCAAACCGACACAGGUGGUCAGGUAGAGAAUACCAAGGCGCUUGAGAGAACUCGGGUGAAGGAACUAGGCAAAAUGGUGCCGUAACUUCGGGAGAAGGCACGCUGAUA
rnacentral:rRNA from 1 species